rnacentral:snoRNA from 10 species
UGGACCAAUGAUGAGAAUGUUAUAUGAAUCAGUGUUCAUGGUUAAUCCAAUUCAACACCACUUCUAUU